rnacentral:rRNA from 1 species
GAUGAACGCUAGCUACAGGCUUAACACAUGCAAGUCGAGGGGCAGCAUGAACUUAGCUUGCUAAGUUUGAUGGCGACCGGCGCACGGGUGAGUAACACGUAUCCAACCUGCCGAUGACUCGGGGAUAGCCUUUCGAAAGAAAGAUUAAUACCCGAUGGCAUAGUUCUUUCGCAUGGUAGAACUAUUAAAGAAUUUCGGUCAUCGAUGGGGAUGCGUUCCAUUAGGUUGUUGGCGGGGUAACGGCCACCAAGCCUUCAAUGGAUAGGGGUUCUGAGAGGAAGGUCCCCCCACAUUGGAACUGAGACACGGUCCAAACUCCUACGGGAGGCAGCAGUGAGGAAUAUUGGUCAAUGGACGAGAGUCUGAACCAGCCAAGUAGCGUGAAGGAUGAAGGUCCUACGGAUUGUAAACUUCUUUUAUAAGGGAAUAAACCCUCCCACGUGUGGGAGCUUGUAUGUACCUUAUGAAUAAGCAUCGGCUAACUCCGUG